AGCGAACGCUGGCGGCAGGCCUAACACAUGCAAGUCGAACGAACUCUUCGGAGUUAGUGGCGGACGGGUGAGUAGCACGUGGGAACGUGCCUUUAGGUUCGGAAUAACUCAGGGAAACUUGUGCUAAUACCGAAUGUGCCCUUCGGGGGAAAGAUUUAUCGCCUUUAGAGCGGCCCGCGUCUGAUUAGCUAGUUGGUGAGGUAAAGGCUCACCAAGGCGACGAUCAGUAGCUGGUCUGAGAGGAUGAUCAGCCACAUUGGGACUGAGACACGGCCCAAACUCCUACGGGAGGCAGCAGUGGGGAAUCUUGCGCAAUGGGCGAAAGCCUGACGCAGCCAUGCCGCGUGAAUGAUGAAGGUCUUAGGAUUGUAAAAUUCUUUCACCGGGGACGAUAAUGACGGUACCCGGAGAAGAAGCCCCGGCUAACUUCGUG
rnacentral:rRNA from 1 species